AUUGAACGCUGGCGGCAUGCCUUACACAUGCAAGUCGAACGGCAGCACGGGUGCUUGCACCUGGUGGCGAGUGGCGAACGGGUGAGUAAUAUAUCGGAACGUACCUUAUUGUGGGGGAUAACGCAGCGAAAGCUGUGCUAAUACCGCAUAAUCCCUAAGGGGGAAAGCGGGGGACCGUAAGGCCUCGCGCAAUUAGAGCGGCCGAUACCUGAUUAGCUAGUUGGGGAGGUAAAGGCUAACCAAGGCAACGAACAGUAGCUGGUCUGAGAGGACGAUCAGCCACACUGGGACUGAGACACGGCCCAGACUCCUACGGGAGGCAGCAGUGGGGAAUUUUGGACAAUGGGGGCAACCCUGAUCCAGCAAUGCCGCGUGAGUGAAGAAGGCCUUCGGGUUGUAAAGCUCUUUUGUCAGGGAAGAAACAGCAGCUCUAACACAGUUUGCGAAUGACGGUACCUGAAGAAUAAGCACCGGCUAACUACGUGCCAGCCGCCGCCGUAA
rnacentral:rRNA from 1 species